rnacentral:rRNA from 1 species
GACAGAGGUCCCGAGCGUUAGGCGGAAUCACUGGGCUUAAAGCGUGUGUAGGCGGCGGCCUAAGUACCUUGUGAAAUCCCACGGCUCACCCGUGGAACUGCUCGGUAUACUGGGUCGCUUGAGCCACUUAGGGGCUACCGGAACAAAUGGUGGAGCGGUGAAAUGCGUAGAUAUCAUUUGGAACGCCAAUGGGAAAAACGGGUAGCUGGGAGUGUGCUGAGGUUGGGACACGAAGGCCGGGGAGCAAACGGG